rnacentral:rRNA from 1 species
UGGCGGCGUGCUUAACACAUGCAAGUCGAACGGAAAGGCCCUGCUUUUGUGGGGUGCUCGAGUGGCGAACGGGUGAGUAACACGUGAGUAACCUGCCCUUGACUUUGGGAUAACUUCAGGAAACUGGGGCUAAUACCGGAUAGGAGCUCCUGCUGCAUGGUGGGGGUUGGAAAGUUUCGGCGGUUGGGGAUGGACUCGCGGCUUAUCAGCUUGUUGGUGGGGUAGUGGCUUACCAAGGCUUUGACGGGUAGCCGGCCUGAGAGGGUGACCGGCCACAUUGGGACUGAGAUACGGCCCAGACUCCUACGGGAGGCAGCAGUGGGGAAUAUUGCACAAUGGGCGGAAGCCUGAUGCAGCAACGCCGCGUGCGGGAUGACGGCCUUCGGGUUGUAAACCGCUUUCGCCUGUGACGAAGCGUGAGUGACGGUAAUGGGUAAAGAAGCACCGGCUAACUACGUGCCAGCAGCCGCGGUGAUACGUAGGGUGCGAGCGUUGUCCGGAUUUAUUGGGCGUAAAGGGCUCGUAGGUGGUUGAUCGCGUCGGAAGUGUAAUCUUGGGGCUUAACCCUGAGCGUGCUUUCGAUACGGGUUGACUUGAGGAAGGUAGGGGAGAAUGGAAUUCCUGGUGGAGCGGUGGAAUGCGCAGAUAUCAGGAGGAACACCAGUGGCGAAGGCGGUUCUCUGGGCCUUUCCUGACGCUGAGGAGCGAAAGCGUGGGGAGCGAACAGGCUUAGAUACCCUGGUAGUCCACGCUGUAAACGGUGGGUACUAGGUGUGGGGUCCAUUCCACGGGUUCCGUGCCGUAGCUAACGCUUUAAGUACCCCGCCUGGGGAGUACGGCCGCAAGGCUAAAACUCAAAGGAAUUGACGGGGCCCCGCACAAGCGGCGGAGCAUGCGGAUUAAUUCGAUGCAACGCGUAGAACCUUACCUGGGUUUGACAUGGAUCGGGAGUGCUCAGAGAUGGGUGUGCCUCUUUUGGGGUCGGUUCACAGGUGGUGCAUGGCUGUCGUCAGCUCGUGUCGUGAGAUGUUGGGUUAAGUCCCGCAACGAGCGCAACCCUUGUUCACUGUUGCCAGCACGUUAUGGUGGGGACUCAGUGGAGACCGCCGGGGUCAACUCGGAGGAAGGUGGGGAUGACGUCAAGUCAUCAUGCCCCUUAUGUCCAGGGCUUCACGCAUGCUACAAUGGCUGGUACAGAGAGUGGCGAGCCUGUGAGGGUGAGCGAAUCUCGGAAAGCCGGUCUCAGUUCGGAUUGGGGUCUGCAACUCGACCUCAUGAAGUCGGAGUCGCUAGUAAUCGCAGAUCAGCAACGCUGCGGUGAAUACGUUCCCGGGGCUUGUACACACCGCCCGUCAAGUCAUGAAAGUUGGUAACACCCGAAGCCGGUGGCCUAACCGUUGUGGGGGAGCCGUCGAAGGUGGGACUGGUGAUUAGGACU